rnacentral:tRNA from 1 species
GCUGUGGCUCAGUGGCAGAGCAUCUUCUCAGCAUGCUGAAGGUCCUAGGUUCAAUCCCUGGAGUCUCCA